UUAAUUUAACUCUUCGAUACUAUACGUGGUUCUGUUAACGUUUAGAAACUGUAUUAUAACUUAUAACGCAUUGGAGAGUUAAAUGUGCCUAACCAUAAAAGUAACUAACAGUGUUUAGAUAGCUGAAAAAGUAAUAUUGUUAAGAUGAUGGCCACUUCCAGUAGAUCUGGAUUUAUUAGUGAAGAGCACUUGACUUUUCUAUGUUAAUGAGUUAACAGAAACCAUAAAUAACACAAAAGUAUCUUCACUUACGAAUAGUUCAAAAAUUGAGUGGGGAAUACAGUUCAUAUUAAGGUUAACUUCCCUUGCAUCUUUUUUUAUUCGAAAAAUGUGCAUAGACUGCAUCAAAAUUUGACUUUUAUCCAUGUGGUAACGUAUUUUUAUGUGAAAAGUAUUUUGCUUCUUGUUUACUUACAAGUUUGGUAAGAAAUGGAUACAAAGUUGCAAAUGAUAUGAUACGAUACCUAUUCGAUUAGUUUUUGUUGAAAAUACACACAAAGCAGGAGACGCGCAAGCUGCGUUUUAUGUCAUUGACAUCUGGAACGUGAGUCACUGAAAUGAAAUCGCGAACAUCUCGUGCUUUUAUUAGGUGAUGCACGGAUUGCAGCAGAUGCAUCGCGAGGUAGUCUGUCACAUUGAGUCGAGGAUACUUUUUUCUCAUAAAUCAAGUACGUGACACGGUUUUCGUGUAUAAUUUACCUCGUAAUCCACACUUGCAACAUUCUUAAGUUAACCAUAUUCCAGAACAAAGUAAUUUCAGGAUAAUGUUUUCAUCUAUUACUUACAAAUUCCAAUUGCUGUUUUGAAAUUUAAAAAAAUUUUAAUUUGUAUAAUAUUGAUUGAUGGAUGAUUACUACAUUUUACUAUUCUACAUAUAUUCUAGCAUAUCUAUAUGCAACAAAUGCCUGUUGCAUCAUAUCAUGUUCGUUACAACUUACUCCUUUUUAUCCCUGUUCUCUACUAGAAUUUUAUUUCAAUUUGUGCCAUAUAUAAUAUUUCAAGUGAAACAAACAACAUCGACGCGUGACUUCUUUAACGUUUUCAAAGCCAAAGCGUUUAAAUAUUGAUAUAUAUUUAGAAUAGGAUUUAUAGCGAACUAUAAUUGACCACGUGCAAGUGGAAGUUGGGUAAAAGGGUCAAGCGAAUUUAUUAAGGCGACGUUCGAAGAACCCGCUAAAUCGUUGCUUGGAUCGACGUAUAGUUAACGAUUUAACUGCUUUGAUAAAGAUGUCAUUGGUCAACCAAGGUUAGUUUUAAACUGUCCUUGUAUUAUAGGUUAGCAAAAAAAAAAAAAAAGAAUAACAAGAGAAAUAAAUUAUACUUCGUCAAAAAACAUGUUUCAACCUGCCAUUUUUUAGCUAUUCGUUUCCGUCGUUUUAACGAAAAUCGCCUUAAUAGCAGUGACUUACGAGCUUUUUCUAUCAGUUCUUAUCACUUAUCUUUUAUCCAAAUAAACGUUUUUGCCAUAACGACAAAUAUCGCAAAUAUCACGAGUACACAAUAUCAAACAAUUAAAAUCAUGCACUAGAUAAGAAAAACAUAGAUCGAGGAAAAGAAUAAAGGUUCGAACUUAUAAGAUGAUCCGCCAAUUCUGAAUCGGUCGGUAUGAUCGGGUAUCGAUAGCGCUCGAUAUUCGAUAGUCUGUCACUUACUCGUUGCAAUCGACGGUGACGUCAAACUAUUAUACCCGUUGAGAUAAUACUUAUCCAAUAUCGUCAAGUCGAAUUUCUUCGAUAAAAGAUUAUUAUCGAUAAAUCAUGAUGUCAGUGUUUCCCAACUUAUUAAUUCGAUUCCUAACGUAUCUUUUUAUCUGUUAGAAAUCCCACUCGUAUUAAGUUUGAAGAUCGAUCCUCAAUCAUGACAUCAAUAUCUUCCAACGUAUAGUUCUGUUCCUUAAAUUUUGUGUAACUUUUGAAAAUACCAUUUGUGUUAAAUUUGAGUUAUUUUGUUAUUGUUACCUAAAGCCUACCUAAGCCAUAAAGCAUACAUGUAAUCAAAUAGUAAACUACUUGUUGAUUUUCGAAUCAUACAGAUUGGAAAUUUUGCAGAAACGGCACGUAAAAGAUUUUAAGAUAUCUCCGCGAUUUCACGAACGUGCUAGUCAACUAUCUUUCUAGGAAACAUCGGAGGAAGAAACCGGAGAAAAAAGCGGUGCAUUGUUUCUCUGUCGGGCCGAGGGCCUGAUUUAAGGGUAUAUAGGGAACGAGGAUUAUAGGUUAUUGUUUAGACAAAGACUCUUAACCUCGAAACACGCACGACACCUAGAAAAAGUAUAAAUAAUCGAGAAGAGGGAUACCAUAUUGUGUUGCUUCUUGGUCCAUUAGUCUUUAAUAGGUUGAUCUCCCAACUAAUAAGAACAUCAUGGAACACGUCGCAAGCAACUUUAACCUCAUGUCCCAUUAUGGUUACCAUUCUGGAAAGAGACAAACGAUUAUAAGAGGAAAACUUCACCUUGUCCAUUUGUUCUUCAAAAUGUUUGUUUAUAGUUUGGUCACAGGUCAGAGACAAGAUAACACAAUUAAAUACGAUGAGUCACGAUAAAGGUUGCGUAGCUAUUUUUAUGGGGGCAACAUGCGCGACUCAGCCAGGUCUAUUAGUCAUGUCUGGACGUACGUUUUUUCCUCGAACAACUUGUUCGGUGCUUGCAGUAUGUUUGACAGUUGCUAUGGAACAUUUCAUACGCCGAAUAAAGAAAAGUUAUUUAUGUCCAUCGCGAUAAAAAAGAAAUAUAUUAUGGAAGCUUUUUACCAUCACACUAUUUCGUUAAUAAAAAGUUAGAUGUUAGUUGAGAUAAAAGAAAAAUACCAUGGAAAUUUAUUACCAACACGCUGUUUUGUUAAUAAAAACUUAGAUGUUUCUUUAAACAUAA